CCUUUUUUUGCCCCCACUCAGACGCUCUCUCUUUCGUGUAUUCAUUAUUCUCUAUUCACUUCUUCAUUAUUCUUCCAGAUUUUUCCAAUUCCUCCUCUGAAAUCCCCAAAAACACAUACUCAGACCUCCUUUAAUGAAAAUCCAAAUCCAAGCCUAGCGCCAUUUAGCAUUGCCCCAGACCUCCUCUAUCAUCAUCCUCAUUUCUCACCCCUGGCAUGGCGAUUUCCUCAAAGCUGAGGUUUGCACUGGCGAUUUCUGAUUCCAUUCUCUCAGAGGAGAUUCGGAUCCGUGAAACAUCCGAGAGAUAUGGUGAAGAUAACCACUGCAUGUCAUAGAUCCGAGAAGCAUGAAGGUUCCAGAUCAGAAAAACAAGGUGAAAAAAAACAAGGAAAUGACCGACCAAGAUCCCAACGCGCUGGCUCCGACGGCGACGGGGAUGAUUGUCGAUGAUACAUGCGAGUUCUCAGCUCCGCGCUUCUUCGACUUCAUAAAGGACGAGAGCGAAGACGACAACGCAAGGCCGAGCUCUGGUACGAUUAGGGCUUUCUCAAGUCGGUAGAACUCCCAUUUUUCUGCUCCACUCGGUUCCCCCUCCAGAUCCGAGUCGUGUCUGGGUCGUCGGAUUUGCUCGAAUCCGGAAAUGUCAUACCCAUGAAGGCAAUUUCUCAUUUUCUUCGUCCAUUUAUAA